ensembl:lncRNA
CUUCACUUAGUUCACUAGUCCGACACCUGUCGGGAGAAUCACUAGUCAAUUAGGCUCUUAACGGUGUUAAAGCAGGACAUGGGCAGAGCAUAGCUCCACUUUUCACUGCCUUCGUUCUUUCCGCGGCUGGGCCCAUAACAGUUGGGAGACUACAUGGAUUGGUGCACUUCACUAGCAGCCUGUAUUGCCCUUCUCUGGAUUGUCUGCUUCAUAGACGGCAACGCGGUGCUUGAGCUGCGAUUGCUGUUCCACGCUCUGACAAAAGCCGCUUGUCACCUGUACCUAGCCCUGCUCCCGCUGCGCAGAGCGGCCACACAUUUCUAUGACUGCGUACGACACCUGAUCCACCAUGCCCAGCACAACCAGUCCCACCAUCCAGAGUAUCUGCAGCACGGCAAGCCACUGGCCAAGAAAGGCACGCUGCACUUUCUGGAGGGCAUGUGUGUGGUUUGUGAGACUGUGCCCAACCUGAUGGGCGCAGCGCUCAGUCUGGGCUCCGCCUUCUGCCACAUGAUGCAGGGGGGCUUCUACAUCCUGGCGGCCACGCUGCGCACCAUUCAGCUUAAUCUGUUUUCCCAAAUGAACGGUGAAAAGGAGAGAUGGGACAAAGACCGUGUAAGAGCCAAAGAAAGUGAGAAAAAGCUCAACUCCAAAGUGCUGGAAUACAUCUCAGUGUUUUGUCAAGAUCCUGUCAGUGCUCUGCGAAUCAAAGUUGACGUGCCGCCUGUUUACAGAUGAUGUUUGUCACCUUGUUUAAUUCAAGCUCUUUAACUGGCACUAAGCGGCCUUUUGUUGGCAGUGGGGCAGAUUUUGCAGGUGCUGAAAGAAGUUUUCACAAAUUAAAAUGAAGGAAACCUCUGAUUAAAUACAUAUGUAUUUUGCUACAAAAAUGUAUUAAAAUAUUAAAUUCAUUUUUCAACCUAUUUUUGUAUGUUACAUUUUAGAUCACAUUAAUUUCAUUAUUUAACAGAUCAAUCAAAGGUUAGCAGAAUAUAUUUAAGAAAUGUUCAAACACAGUCACAUUUUUAUUAUAGGAAAAGUAAGGCUAUAGCUAUUAUCUCAGUACCUAUCAACUGUAAGGGCACUUUAUAAGUUUUAAAUUAGUUAAGGUGUACAUUAUUGGCAGUAGGUGAUCAAGUGAAUAUAUAGUAAGUGUAGGGACUCACAUUUCACAGAUUUGUGUACGAUUUUACAAAAAGAUAUGUGGAGACUAGAAAGGUUAAGCCUAACUUUUGGCGUCAAGACAACUU